rnacentral:rRNA from 1 species
UACGAAGGGGGCUAGCGUUACUCGGAAUUACUGGGCGUAAAGGGCGCGUAGGCGGCGCUCCAAGUUAGGCGUGAAAGUCCUGGGCUCAACCUGGGAACUGCGCUUGAUACUGGAGUGCUUGAGGAUGGAAGAGGGUUGUGGAAUUCCCAGUGUAGAGGUGAAAUUCGUAGAUAUUGGGAAGAACACCGGUGGGCGAAGGCGGCAACCUGGUCCAUUACUGACGCUCAGGCGCGACAGCGUGGGGAUCAAACAGG